rnacentral:rRNA from 1 species
UACAGGGGGUGCAAACGUUGCUCGGAAUCAUUGGGCGUAAAGCGCACGUAGGCGGUCUGUUAUGUCGGAUGUGAAAGCCCUUGGCUCAACUGAGGAAGUGCAUCCGAAACUGGCAGGCUAGAGUACUAAAGAGGGUCGCGGAAUUCCCGGUGUAGAGGUGAAAUUCGUAGAUAUUGGGAAGAACACCGGUGGCGAAGGCGGCUCACUGGCUCGUUU